GGAUGUGGUAUCACUUUGACAUUUCAGAUAACUUAUAAUGAGAAUCGACGUACUUGUUUACAUCUUUAUUCUGGACAUAUUAAAACCAAAAAACUAGGCGACGUACAGAAUGAUAGUGGUUUAUCUGCAUUAGUGUUCAACCGUACAAAAAAAAAUGUCGUGUGCCUUACUGUUGUAUAUUUCCAUUGCCACGAUUCUACUUUAUUUUACCAUUGAAAUCAAAUGUUGUUCUUUGAGCACAAAUGACAUCAUCAGCCUCAUGAGUUACAACGAAAAUUAUAAACAGGACCCUUGCUAUAUUCAGUGGCAAGCUGAACAAGAUGCAAAAUUGGCUGGACUAUGGAAACAAAGAGACCAGUUAGAAAGGAGUAUGCAUGAAUACAAUGAACGACGAAGAGAAAAUGAGAGAAUAGAACGAGAGAAUCGGCAGAGAAGUUAUACUUCGACAACUGUCCCUCGGAAGGAAUCAGGAGUGUGGAAACUGUUAGGAAUCUGUGUUGGUGCCAUAGUUGGAAUUUGUUGUUGUGUGGCUUGUGUUGCCGCUUUACAGAGUAAUAACAAUGUUCCACCGAUAAACAGAGCGGUUACUGUCCCUUUUACUGCAUCACCACAAGUUCAGAUAACCUCGGUGGUAUCUAGCAACCAUAUGGGAAGCCAAUCUACAUUCACCCCGAAUGCCAAUAACAAUUUUAGUAAUCUCGCUGCAUCGCCCUUGCAACAGGAUUCUCGUUCCGAUCUACCACUUACGCCAAGAAGACAGGAUUCGCUUCCGAGCUAUGAGGAUGCUGUAAAAAUGGCCCGUCCAAUAGAUUAAGUUACUUUUUACACAAACCAAGAAAUUUACUCAGAUUCCGUGCGCUUAUUUACUGUACAUUGCUUCUUAAUUGCUUUAUUGAGCAACAAAUACAUGAAACGAUUAAUAUC